CCUACGGGAGGCAGCAGUAGGGAAUAUUGGGCAAUGGAGGCAACUCUGACCCAGCCAUGCCGCGUGCAGGAAGAAGGCGUUAUGCGUUGUAAACUGCUUUUAUAUAGGAAGAAAUAGACCUUGCGAGGUAAGUUGACGGUACUAUAUGAAUAAGCACCGGCUAACUCCGUGCCAGCAGCCGCGGUAAUACGGAGGGUGCAAGCGUUGUCCGGAUUUAUUGGGUUUAAAGGGUGCGUAGGCGGUUUAUUAAGUCAGUGGUGAAAGACGGUCGCUCAACGAUUGCAGUGCCAUUGAUACUGGUAGACUUGAGUGGGAUUGAGGUAGCUGGAAUGGAUAGUGUAGCGGUGAAAUGCAUAGAUAUUAUCCAGAACACCAAUUGCGUAGGCAAGUUACUAAGUCUCAACUGACGCUGAGGCACGAAAGUGUGGGUAUCAAACAGGAUUAGAUACCCUGGUAGUCCACACUGUAAACGAUGAUAACUAACUGUUGGCUUUCGAGUCAGUGGUACAGAGAAAUCGUUAAGUUAUCCACCUGGGGAGUACGCCGGCAACGGUGAAACUUAAAGAAUUGACGGCUGAGAGAGCGAGACGACGACGAGGGAGGAGG
rnacentral:rRNA from 1 species